ensembl:lncRNA
GGGCUUCUGCCCAUGGCUCCCCAGUCCCCAGUUGCAGUUUGAUAAGAUGAGGUGUAGGGCAGCCCAGCCCUGGAAGAAGUUAUGCCUGGCACAGCCCUGAGAGUCCCCAGUGCCACAGCCCAUGUAGACCAGCUAUUUGGAUCAGACCACGGGACAGGGCCCCUUGCCCGAGUUUCUGAAGCUUUGCCCUCUGGUCAAUGCUGCCCAGUUUCACGGCCUCAGGUAUACUAUCAGCCCCUAUUGGGCUGCUCUCCAAGUGCCCAGAAGAACUUAAAGACAGACCACAGAGUGCAGAAUAUCAGAACUGUGCAAAGAACAUAUAAGCCCGACACAAGGAACACUGAUGGAAGAUCAUGCCAGAAUGGGAACAUUCCUUCUUCCUCCCCUUCCUCCCCUGACAACUGAGAGGCAUCCCGCCCUCCCUGGCUGGCCACUGGAAGGAAAGAAUCACUGCCAAACCACUGCUUGCACAACAAUGUGCUUCUGAGC